UACAGAGACUGCAAGCGUUACUCGGAUUCACUGGGCGUAAAGGGAGCGCAGGCGGACCGGUGUGUCAGAUGUGAAACCCCAGGGCUCAACCCUGGGACUGCGUCUGAAACUGCCGGUCUAGGGACUCGGAGGGGCUAGUGGAAUUCCUGGUGGAGCAGUGAAAUGCGUAGAUAUCAGGAGGAACACCAACGUCGAAGGCAGCUAGCUGGACGAGAUCCGACGCUCAGGCUCGAAAGUAUGGGGAGCAAAAAGG
rnacentral:rRNA from 1 species